GGGAGCUUGCUCCCUGAUGUCAGCGGCGGACGGGUGAGUAACACGUGGGUAACCUGCCUGUAAGACUGGGAUAACUCCGGGAAACCGGGGCUAAUACCGGAUGCUUGAUUGAACCGCAUGGUUCAAUUAUAAAAGGUGGCUUUUAGCUACCACUUACAGAUGGACCCGCGGCGCAUUAGCUAGUUGGUGAGGUAACGGCUCACCAAGGCAACGAUGCGUAGCCGACCUGAGAGGGUGAUCGGCCACACUGGGACUGAGACACGGCCCAGACUCCUACGGGAGGCAGCAGUAGGGAAUCUUCCGCAAUGGACGAAAGUCUGACGGAGCAACGCCGCGUGAGUGAUGAAGGUUUUCGGAUCGUAAAACUCUGUUGUUAGGGAAGAACAAGUACCGUUCGAAUAGGGCGGUACCUUGACGGUACCUAACCAGAAAGCCACGGCUAACUACGUGCCAGCAGCCGCGGUAAUACGUAGGUGGCAAGCGUUGUCCGGAAUUAUUGGGCGUAAAGCGCGCGCAGGCGGUUUCUUAAGUCUGAUGUGAAAGCCCCCGGCUCAACCGGGGAGGGUCAUUGGAAACUGGGGAACUUGAGUGCAGAAGAGGAGAGUGGAAUUCCACGUGUAGCGGUGAAAUGCGUAGAGAUGUGGAGGAACACCAGUGGCGAAGGCGACUCUCUGGUCUGUAACUGACGCUGAGGCGCGAAAGCGUGGGGAGCGAACAGGAUUAGAUACCCUGGUAGUCCACGCCGUACACGAUGAGUGCUAAGUG
rnacentral:rRNA from 1 species